rnacentral:tRNA from 1 species
UCCCUGAUGGCUCAGACGGUAAAGCAUCUGCCUGCAAUGCAGGAGACCUGGGUUCGAUUCCUGGGUUGGGAA